UACGUAGGGGGCAAGCGUUGUCCGGAUUUAUUGGGCGUAAAGAGCGUGUAGGCGGCCAGGUAGGUCUGCUGUGAAAACUCGAGGCUCAACCUCGAGAUGUCGGCGGAAACCAUCUGGCUAGAGUCCGGAAGAGGAGAAUGGAAUUCCCGGUGUAGCGGUGAAAUGCGCAGAUAUCGGGAAGAACACCCGUGGCGAAGGCGGCUCUCUGGGACGGUACUGACGCUGAGACGCGAAAGCGUGGGGAGCGAACAGG
rnacentral:rRNA from 1 species